rnacentral:rRNA from 1 species
AACGAACGCUGGCGGCAUGCCUAACACAUGCAAGUCGAACGAAGCCUUCGGGCUUAGUGGCGCACGGGUGCGUAACGCGUGGGAAUCUGCCCUUGGGUUCGGAAUAACAGUUAGAAAUGACUGCUAAUACCGGAUAAUGACGUAAGUCCAAAGAUUUAUCGCCCAGGGAUGAGCCCGCGUAGGAUUAGCUAGUUGGUGGGGUAAAGGCCUACCAAGGCUACGAUCCUUAGCUGGUCUGAGAGGAUGAUCAGCCACACUGGGACUGAGACACGGCCCAGACUCCUACGGGAGGCAGCAGUGGGGAAUAUUGGACAAUGGGCGAAAGCCUGAUCCAGCAAUGCCGCGUGAGUGAAGAAGGCCUUCGGGUUGUAAAGCUCUUUUACCCGGGAAGAUAAUGACUGUACCGGGAGAAUAAGCCCCGGCUAACUCCGUGCCAGCCGCCGCCGUAAAAC